GUUUCUGAUGAUGACCAAAUCAUGCAUACUCUUGCUGGUUUAGGUCCCGAAUACGAUUCAGUAAUGGUUACUAUAACUUCUAAACCAGAGGUUUGGACUCUUGGAGAUGUUAGCUCACUGCUACUGAGUUUUGAAA